UGACCUGGAGGACGGAGGUGAGGAUGCUGGGGCCGGCGGAGAGGUUGAAGUUGAAGACGGAGGCGUCCUGGAGGUAGAACUUUGGGUGGGUGGGGCGGAGGGUGAGCCAGAUGACUAGGAUGAUGAAGAGGAUGAGGAGGAUGAAAGCGAUGAUGGCGGCGAAGAUGCGGCGGUAGAGCGUGUGGCGGCCGGAGCCGCCGUGGUUGCCGCAGUCUUUUGUCAUGGUGAG
rnacentral:misc_RNA from 1 species